rnacentral:rRNA from 1 species
AUUGAACGCUGGCGGCAGGCCUAACACAUGCAAGUCGAACGAGUGGCGGACGGGUGAGUAAUGUCUGGGAAACUGCCCGAUGGAGGGGGAUAACUACUGGAAACGGUAGAUAAUACCGCAUACAAUCGGAUGUGCCCAGAUGGGAUGAGCUUGUAGGUGAGGUAACGGCUCACCUAGGCGACGAUCCCUAGCUGGUCUGAGAUGAUGACCAGCAACACUGGAACUGAGUCACGGUCCAGACUCCUACGGGAGGCAGCUUUUGGGAAUAUGGCACAAUUGGCGCAAGCCUGAUGCAGCCAUGCCGCGUGUAUGAAGAAGGCCUUAUGGUUGUAAAGUACUUGCAGCGGGGAGGCGUUACCCGCAGAAGAAGCACCGGCUAACUCCGUGCCAGCAGCCGCGGUAAUAC